AUAACUUUCUCGUCCGAACUCCGAUUUACGAACCGUUUGCGCUCACGAACUCGUAUCGAGACGAACUACAACUUCUAUUUCAGACAAGUUUUCCAAAUUCGAACUCAAUAUUUCUGUAAAAAUCAUCAAAGUACGACCAAGUAACAUAUUUCACAAGAUAAAGCAAUUUAAGCACAAAACAAUCAUCCAACACUCAAUUUCCUAUAAAAUUAACAUCAUAUGAACAUUAAAAACCAUGGAAACAUGAGUGUUAUCAGUAAGUAAAUGAUUCACUAGUUAUUUCAAGAAUAUCAAAUUAUAAAUAUAAGUUUUAAACUUAUAUUUGAGAUGUAAGUAAGUGCUUCACUUGUUAUUUCAAGUAUGAUUAGGGUAAAUUAAAUUGAGAUUCUCAAAUUCGAGUAUGAUUAGUGGAAAUUCAAUUGGGGAUUCUCAAAUUCAAGUAUGAUUAGUUGAAAUUCAAUAGGGGAUUCUCAAAUUCAAGUAUGAUUAGAAGAAUUUCAAUUGGGGAUUCUCAAAUUCAAGUAUAAUUAGUGGAAAUUCAAUUGGGGAUUCUCAAAUUCAAGUAUGAUUAGUUGAAAUUCAAUUAAGGAUUCUCAAAUUCAAGUAUGAUUAGUGAAAAUUCAAUUGGGGAUUCUCAAAAUCAAGUAUGAUUAGUGGAAAUUCAAUUGGGGAUUCUCAAAUUGAAGUGUGAUUCUCUAUUGGAUUCUCCACUAAUCAAGUUCAAAUUUUAGAUUCUCUAUUGGAUUAUCCACUAAUCAAGUUCAAAUUUGUGAUUCUCAACUAGAUUCUCCACUAAUCAAGUUCAAAUUUGAGAUUCUCAACUAGAUUCUCCACUAAUCAAGUUCAAAUUUGAGAUUCUCUAUUGGAUUCUCCACUAAUCAAGUUCAAAUUUGAGAUUCUCUAUUGGAUUCUCCAUUAAUCAAGUUCAAAUUGAGAACCCCCAAUUGA
rnacentral:lncRNA from 1 species